UAUCUCUGUAGAGUCUGCAUAUCAAUAAGCGGAGGAAAAGAAACUAACUAGGAUUCCCUCAGUAACGGCGAGUGAAGCGGGAAGAGCUCAAAUUUGAAAUCUUCAAGGUUUUACCUUGACGAAUUGUAGUUUAAAGAAGUGUUUUCUGUUGGAGUUUUCGGUAAAAGUUCUUUGGAAUAGGACAUCAUAGAGGGUGAGAAUCCCGUAUUUGACCAUUAUUUUCAGCUGUGUGAUACACUUUCAAAGAGUCGGAUUGUUUGGGAAUGCAGUCCAAAAUGGGUGGUAAAUUUCAUCUAAAGCUAAAUAUUGGCGAGAGACCGAUAGCGAACAAGUACCGUGAGGGAAAGAUGAAAAGAACUUUGAAAAGAGAGUUAAACAGUACGUGAAAUUGUCAAAAGGGAAGCGUUUGACACCAGUGUUGUUUUCUCGAAAAUCAAUUAAAAAUGACUUGGAUUUUGUGUUGUAUUGACCUUAUAAGCUUUCUGCACUCUUUUCAUAUCUUUUUUAAUGCACUUUUCGUUUAACAAGUCAACAUCAAUUUCUUUUGUUGUAAAAGAGUCAUUGGAAGGUGGCUUUCUUUUCGGAGAAAGUGUUUAUAGCCUUUGGACUUCCUGCAAUCGGAGAGACUGAGGUCUGCAGCGUAGAUCCUUCUGGGAUUAGAUUACAUUGUGCUAAGUUAUAGCUUUUCAUAGACAACUUGUUGACUAUGAUUUAGUCAUGUAGCUUACUCGCUUUAUGAUAUUUUACCUACGCUUAGGAUGUUGAGUCAUCACACAUCUCU
rnacentral:rRNA from 1 species